GACGAACGCUGGCGGCGUGCUUAACACAUGCAAGUCGAACGGAAAGGCCCUGCUUUUGUGGGGUGCUCGAGUGGCGAACGGGUGAGUAACACGUGAGUAACCUGCCCUUGACUUUGGGAUAACUUCAGGAAACUGGGGCUAAUACCGGAUAGGAGCUCCUGCUGCAUGGUGGGGGUUGGAAAGUUUCGGCGGUUGGGGAUGGACUCGCGGCUUAUCAGCUUGUUGGUGGGGUAGUGGCUUGCCAAGGCUUUGACGGGUAGCCGGCCUGAGAGGGUGACCGGCCACAUUAGGACUGAGAAACGGCCCAGACUCCUACGGGAGGCAGCAGUGGGGAAUAUUGCACAAUGGGCGGAAGCCUGAUGCAGCAACGCCGCGUGCGGGAUGACGGCCUUCGGGUUGUAAACCGCUUUCGCCUGUGACGAAGCGUGAGUGACGGUAAUGGGUAAAGAAGCACCGGCUAACUACGUG
rnacentral:rRNA from 1 species